GACGAACGCUGGCGGCGUGCUUAACACAUGCAAGUCGAACGGAAAGGCCCUGCUUUUGUGGGGUGCUCGAGUGGCGAAAGGGUGAGUAACACGUGAGUAACCUGCCCUUGACUUUGGGAUAACUUCAGGAAACUGGGGCUAAUACCGGAUAUGAGCUCCUGCUGCAUGGUGGGGGUUGGAAAGUUUCGGCGGUUGGGGAUGGACUCGCGGCUUAUCAUCGUGUUGGUGGGGUAGUGGCUUACCAAGGCUUUGACGGGUAGCCGGCCUGAGAGGGUGACCGGCCACAUUGGGACUGAGAUACGGCCCAGACUCAUACGGGAGGAAGCAGUGGGGAAUAUUGCACAAUGGGCGGAAGCCUGAUGCAGCAACGCCGCGUGCGGGAUGACGGCCUUCGGGUUGUAACCCGCUUUCGCCUGUGACGAAGCGUGAGUGACGGUAAUGGGUAAAGAAGCACCGGCUAACUACGUG
rnacentral:rRNA from 1 species